rnacentral:rRNA from 1 species
AUUGAACGCUGGCGGAAUGCUUUACACAUGCAAGUCGAACGGCAGCACGGACUUCGGUCUGGUGGCGAGUGGCGAACGGGUGAGUAAUGUAUCGGAACGUGCCCAGUCGUGGGGGAUAACGUAGUGAAAAUUACGCUAAUACCGCAUACGAUCUAUGGAUGAAAGCGGGGGAUCGCAAGACCUCGCGCGAUUGGAGCGGCCGAUAUCAGAUUAGGUAGUUGGUGGAGGAAAGGCCCACCAAGCCAACGAUCUGUAGCUGGUCUGAGAGGACGACCAGCCACACUGGAACUGAGACACGGUCCAGACCCCUACGGGAGGCAGCAGUGGGGAAUUUUGGACAAUGGGCGAAAGCCUGAUCCAGCCAUUCCGCGUGCAGGAUGAAGGCCCUCGGGUUGUAAACUGCUUUUGUACAGAACGAAAAGGUUUCUACUAAUACUAGGAGCUCAUGACGGUACUGUAAGAAUAAGCACCGGCUAACUACGUGCCAGCCGCCGCCGUAA